CUGGAGCAAGAAGAUCUCAGGCUGUGACCAUCUACAGGGAAGCACUUUCUAUGGUCAGAAAAAGAAAGUGCAUCCUUUUAGAGUGUUACUAUUUGAGAAAAGCAACAUUGAA